rnacentral:rRNA from 1 species
GAUGAACGCUGGCGGCGCGCCUAAUACAUGCAAGUCGAGCGAACGGACGAGAAGCUUGCUUCUCUGAUGUUAGCGGCGGACGGGUGAGUAACACGUGGAUAACCUACCUAUAAGACUGGGAUAACUUCGGGAAACCGGAGCUAAUACCGGAUGAUAUUUUGAACCGCAUGGUUCAAAAGUGAAAAACGGCUUUCUGGCACUUAUUGGUGGAUUCGCGCUGCAUUAGCUAGUUGGUAAGGUAACGGCUUACCAAGGCAACGAUGCAUAGCCGACCUGAGAGGGUGAUCGGCCACACUGGAACUGAGACACGGUCCAGACUCCUACGGGAGGCAGCAGUAGGGAAUCUUACGCAAUGGGCGAAAGCCUGACGGAGCAACGCCGCGUGAGUGAUGAAGGUCUUCGGAUCGUAAAACUCUGUUAUUAGGGAAGAACAUAUGUGUAAGUAACUGUGCACAUCUUGACGGUACCUAAUCAGAAAGCCACGGCUAACUACGUG